UACGAAGGGGGCUAGCGUUGCUCGGAAUGACUGGGCGUCAAGGGCGCGUAGGCGGUUCGUACAGUCAGACGUGAAAUUCCCGGGCUCAACCUGGGGGCUGCGUUUGAUACGUGCGGGCUUGAGUUCGGAAGAGGGUCGUGGAAUUCCCAGUGUAGAGGUGAAAUUCGUAGAUAUUGGGAAGAACACCGGUGGCGAAGGCGGCGACCUGGUCCGAUACUGACGCUGAGGCGCGAAAGCUAGGGGAGCAAACGGG
rnacentral:rRNA from 1 species